rnacentral:lncRNA from 1 species
GCUGAGGGGCCGGAGGGCCCGGAGCUGAGGUGCUCCGGUCUGAGAUGCUGAGGACUCAGGAUUGAGGGAUGGAAGAUAAGAGGUCACAGUUUCCACGGGCUGUAAGCACAAAGCCGGUGCUGGCUGCGCCGUGUUUCCCCUCUGGAGCAGCAGAGGCACAGCACAGGGAACUCGGAGGUUUCUUUCUGAGCUGCUUAAUCUAAAUACACCAUGAGUCACUCCGUGUGUAUUGGCUCUGUGCAGGUCUGCACUGAGAGAAUGUAAUUCCUACAGGACCAGAGCAUAAAGUACCCGAAACCAGAGAUUGGUUUCUCUGAAACUGGAGGUACGAGAUAAAGUUUCAUCACAACCACAAACUUUUUUUUUUUUUUUUGUGGACUAGUGUUCCGGUAUUUUAAAUGCAAAAACAUUCCCUGUCUAAAUGGUUCCAGGAUUUCAUGAACCUCUUGUCAGUUCAGGGGUCAAAUCAGGUCUCCUCAAAAAGUAUAAAGAACAAGG